rnacentral:rRNA from 1 species
ACGGGUGCGGAACACGUACAGAACCUUCCUUUAAGUGGGGAAUAGCCCAGGGAAACUUGGAUUAAUACCCCGUAAUAUUAUGAAGUGGCAUCACUUUAUUAUUAUAGCUCCGGCGCUUGAAGAUGGCUGUGCGGCUGAUUAGGUAGUUGGCGGGGUAACGGCCCACCAAGCCUACGAUCAGUAACUGGUGUGAGAGCACGACCAGUCACACGGGCACUGAGACACGGGCCCGACUCCUACGGGAGGCAGCAGUAAGGAAUAUUGGUCAAUGGACGCAAGUCUGAACCAGCCAUGCCGCGUGGAGGAUGAAGGUCCUCUGGAUUGUAAACUUCUUUUCUCUGGGGCGAAAAUACUCAUUCUUGAGCACUUGACAGUACCAGAGGAAUAAGCACCGGCUAACUCCGUGCCAGCAGCCACGGUAAUACGGAGGGGUGCAAGCGUUAUCCGGAUUCACUGGGUUUAAAGGGUGCGUAGGAGGGCAGGUAAGUCAGUGGUGAAAUCCCCGAGCUUAACUUGGGAACUGCCGUUGAUACUAUCUGUCUUGAAUAUUGUGGAGGUAAGCGGAAUAUGUCAUGUAGCGG